AGCAGGCCUGCUUAUUCAGAAAUAUGGCCUCAUGCUUUCAGUCCAUAAGAACUUCAUAAGAAGAAUGCUUAAGAGUGCAGCUUUAAGUGGGGAGGCAGGGGAGCUCAGGAACAUAAUCUGAAAGGCAGUUUGGCAAGAAGAGCUAGUCACUGGGAAGGCAACCUCAAGUUUAUGACUAUUUCUAUCUGCACGAAGCUAAGGAAGAGGGAUAUCUUUGAUAAGGACAUUAAAGUUCUUUGGUACUGCAAUGGAAACAGGUUUCUGUUGCCUCCUCCCCAGAGAGAAAGUGAAGGAGACAAGUGCCCCAGUACACCUCCCACCACAGCCACUCACAAAGCUGACUGCUGGCAAUGCUGCUUGGCACUUCCUCACUGCAGAUGCUGCUGCUGAGGCCCUUGGAGCCAGAAGCUAGUGUUCUGUGAUCUGAGCCAGUUUUCUGUUGUAUUAGGUGUGCAUGGAUACUUGUGUUGAAGAUGGCUGAAAACGGGCUAAGAGAGCUGAGUGUGACCCUGAGAUGACAAAGAGGAGUUCUGCUACAACUGCCACCUGAGGAAGGAUAAGCUCACCAAAGAGCUGACAGAAACCAGUUUGCGUUUUCUAUAAGAGGAAGAAGCCUAGUCAGGUGGGGGCCCAUGCUGAGGUGAGAUGCCAGCAUAAAACAAGUCUGAGAGCGGAGAUACUUCAAAGGAGGACUCCAACAAGAAUCCACCCAGAGUGACCAACACAUUCAAGCUCCGGUCAGUCUAUCUGUCUAAAUUUACCAUCAGCCUGGCCAGCUGGGGUGUGUGCUUGAAGUAAGAGUGAUUAGCAAAUUGAUUAAAUAAGGAUAACA